UUUCCGUANGUGAACCUGCGGAAGGAUCAUUG
rnacentral:rRNA from 1 species